rnacentral:rRNA from 1 species
GGUUAAGCGACUAAGCGUACACGGUGGAUGCCCUGGCAGUCAGAGGCGAUGAAGGACGUGCUAAUCUGCGAUAAGCGUCGGUGAGGUGAUAUGAACCGUUAUAACCGGCGAUUUCCGAAUGGGGAAACCCAGUGUGUUUCGACACACUAUCAUUAACUGAAUCCAUAGGUUAAUGAGGCGAACCGGGGGAACUGAAACAUCUAAGUACCCCGAGGAAAAGAAAUCAACCGAGAUUCCCCCAGUAGCGGCGAGCGAACGGGGAGGAGCCCAGAGCCUGAAUCAGUGUGUGUGUUAGUGGAAGCGUCUGGAAAGGCGCGCGAUACAGGGUGACAGCCCCGUACACAAAAAUGCACAUGCUGUGAGCUCGAU